rnacentral:miRNA from 1 species
UGGCUUUCUUCGAUUACCGUGAC